AGGACGAACGCUGGCGGCGUGCUUAACACAUGCAAGUCGAGCGGACAUCUUCGGAUGUUAGCGGCGAACGGGUGAGUAACACGUGGGCAACCUGCCCCUAGCUCUGGGAUAACUCCGGGAAACCGGGGCUAAUACUGGAUAUGACCGAUCCAUGCAUGUGGGUUGGUGGAAAGUUUUCGGCUAGGGAUGGGCCCGCGGCCUAUCAGCUUGUUGGUGGGGUGAUGGCCUACCAAGGCGACGACGGGUA
rnacentral:rRNA from 1 species